rnacentral:rRNA from 1 species
GCAUAUCAAUAAGCGGAGGAAAAGAAACCAACAGGGAUUGCCCUAGUAACGGCGAGUGAAGCGGCAACAGCUCAAAUUUGAAAUCUGGCUCUCUUUGGGGGUCCGAGUUGUAAUUUGCAGAGGGUGCUUUGGCAUCGGCGGCGGUCUAAGUUCCUUGGAACAGGACAUCACAGAGGGUGAGAAUCCCGUACGUGGGCGCCUGCCUUUGCCGUGUAAAGCCCCUUCGACGAGUCGAGUUGUUUGGGAAUGCAGCUCUAAAUGGGAGGUAAAUUUCUUCUAAAGCUAAAUACCGGCCAGAGACCGAUAGCGCACAAGUAGAGUGAUCGAAAGAUGAAAAGUACUUUGGAAAGAGAGUCAAAUAGCACGUGAAAUUGUUGAAAGGGAAGCGCUUGCAGCCAGACUUGCCCGCAGUUGCUCACCUAGGCUUUUGCCUGGGGCACUCUUCUGCGGGCAGGCCAGCAUCAGUUUGGGCGGUUGGAUAAAGGCCUCUGUCACGUAUCUCCCUUCGGGGUGACCUUAUAGGGGAGGCGUAAUGCAACCAGCCCGGACUGAGGUCCGCGCAUCUGCUAGGAUGCUGGCGUAAUGGCUGUAAGCGGCCCGUCUUGAAACACGGACCAAGGAGUCUAACAUCUAUGCGAGUGUUUGGGUGUCAAGCCCGGGCGCGUAAUGAAAGUGAACGGAGGUGGGAACCCUUUGGGUGCACCAUCGACCGAUCCUGAUGUCUUCGGAUGGAUUUGAGUAAGAGCAUAGCUGUUGGGACCCGAAAGAUGGUGAACUAUGCUUGAAUAGGGUGAAGCCAGAGGAAACUCUGGUGGAGGCUCGCAGCGGUUCUGACGUGCAAAUCGAUCGUCAAAUUUGGGCAUAGGGGCGAAAGACUAAUCGAACC